rnacentral:rRNA from 1 species
UACGAAGGGGGCUAGCGUUGUUCGGAAUUACUGGGCGUAAAGCGCACGUAGGCGGCUUUGUAAGUUAGAGGUGAAAGCCCAGGGCUCAACCCUGGAAUUGCCUUUAAGACUGCAUCGCUUGAACAUCGGAGAGGUAAGUGGAAUUCCGAGUGUAGAGGUGAAAUUCGUAGAUAUUCGGAAGAACACAAGUGGCGAAGGCGACUUACUGGACGAUUGUUGACGCUGAGGUGCGAAAGCGUGGGGAGCAAACAGG